rnacentral:rRNA from 1 species
GGAUGAACGCUGGCGGCGUGCUUAACACAUGCAAGUCGAACGAUGAUCCGGUGCUUGCACCGGGGAUUAGUGGCGAACGGGUGAGUAACACGUGAGUAACCUGCCCUUAACUCUGGGAUAAGCCUGGGAAACUGGGUCUAAUACCGGAUAUGACUCCUCAUCGCAUGGUGGGGGGUGGAAAGCUUUUUGUGGUUUUGGAUGGACUCGCGGCCUAUCAGCUUGUUGGUGAGGUAAUGGCUCACCAAGGCGACGACGGGUAGCCGGCCUGAGAGGGUGACCGGCCACACUGGGACUGAGACACGGCCCAGACUCCUACGGGAGGCAGCAGUGGGGAAUAUUGCACAAUGGGCGCAAGCCUGAUGCAGCGACGCCGCGUGAGGGAUGACGGCCUUCGGGUUGUAAACCUCUUUCAGUAGGGAAGAAGCGAAAGUGACGGUACCUGCAGAAGAAGCGCCGGCUAACUACGUGCCAGCAGCCGCGGUAAUACGUAGGGCGCAAGCGUUAUCCGGAAUUAUUGGGCGUAAAGAGCUCGUAGGCGGUUUGUCGCGUCUGCCGUGAAAGUCCGGGGCUCAACUCCGGAUCUGCGGUGGGUACGGGCAGACUAGAGUGAUGUAGGGGAGACUGGAAUUCCUGGUGUAGCGGUGAAAUGCGCAGAUAUCAGGAGGAACACCGAUGGCGAAGGCAGGUCUCUGGGCAUUAACUGACGCUGAGGAGCGAAAGCAUGGGGAGCGAACAGGAUUAGAUACCCUGGUAGUCCAUGCCGU